UGUUUUUGUUUGUCUCUGCUUUUACAGUAUAUCCUAUAAGAAAUUUUAGGAGGAACAUCUGAGACAAGGUUAUAAGACUCCAUUCUGGUCUUGGAUAUGGCUUUUGAGCGUCUAUGCAGCUGUCUGGAGUCUCUGCUAGCACCAUAACAGAGACCGCCUGCGUCUCUCACCUUGUCCCCUGAAAACCCUGCAUCGCGAAUUAGACCCAGAGAGAGACAGAGUGAGUGAACAACUGAACCGAUAGAGGACCGAGAAAGCGGCCAAAACCAGCGAAAGUGAUGACAGGUUAUUUUUCACCAGCCCUCCCUAGACAGCGCAACGCUGUUUUCUCUUCUCCUCUGACACAUGGAAGAUUUAAUCUAGCCAUCUCUUGGCGGCCCUUCCGCUCCUGUAACCCAAUGAAAGCCAUGAUUACACACGUUACAGGCAGAGGGGGUCUGGAGGCCUCUGCGCCAAAAAAAUGGCCAGAGCAGCAGAUUCCCCGGGCUCUGCAGGGUAAUUCAGAGUGCAUGUGGGUGCACAUGUGCGGACUUGCCUGUAUGUAAAACAUUGUCUUUAUUGUUAUGGAGGUUAAUUGUUUGUGCACCAGGUGGGAGACAUCUUAAA